UACAGAGGUCUCAAGCGUUGUUCGGAUUCAUUGGGCGUAAAGGGUGCGUAGGCGGCGCGGUAAGUCGGAUGUGAAAUCUCGGAGCUUAACUUCGAAACUGCGUUCGAUACUGCCGUGCUUGAGGACUGGAGAGGAGACUGGAAUUUACGGUGUAGCGGUGAAAUGCGUAGAUAUCGUAAGGAAGACCAGUGGCGAAGGCGGGUCUCUGGACAGUUCCUGACGCUGAGGCACGAAGGUCAGGGGAGCAAACGGG
rnacentral:rRNA from 1 species